UACGUAGGGUGCAAGCGUUGUCCGGAAUUAUUGGGCGUAAAGAGCUCGUAGGCGGUCUGUCGCGUCUGCUGUGAAAACUCAGGGCUUAACCCUGAGCUUGCAGUGGGUACGGGCAGACUAGAGUGCGGUAGGGGAGACUGGAAUUCCCGGUGUAGCGGUGAAAUGCGCAGAUAUCAGGAGGAACACCGAUGGCGAAGGCAGGUCUCUGGGCAUUAACUGACGCUGAGGAGCGAAAGCAUGGGGAGCGAACAGG
rnacentral:rRNA from 1 species